UACGUAUGGUGCAAGCGUUAUCCGGAUUUACUGGGUGUAAAGGGUGCGUAGGUGGUGAGACAAGUCUGAAGUGAAAAUCCGGGGCUUAACCCCGGAACUGCUUUGGAAACUGCCUGACUAGAGUACAGGAGAGGUAAGUGGAAUUCCUAGUGUAGCGGUGAAAUGCGUAGAUAUUAGGAGGAACACCAGUGGCGAAGGCGACUUACUGGACUGCUACUGACACUGAGGCACGAAAGCGUGGGGAGCAAAC
rnacentral:rRNA from 1 species